ACUGAAACCUGCCAUAAAUGGAAAGUUUUGAUCCUCAAACUUACAUCAUGAUACAAGCCUCAAAUGAAUUUUUGCCCAACAUGAAAGUUGAAGAUCUUGUUCUCCCAUUUCCAAAAAGUCCUAGAACUCUCAAUUCCCAUGUGUGGUUGGCAAGUUAUGAUCGAAUCGAUUUCAGAAAAUCUUGAACUUCAAAAGGCCAUAUCUCNN
rnacentral:lncRNA from 1 species